rnacentral:rRNA from 1 species
UGGGUGAUCUGCCCUCGGUUUCGGGAUAGCCCGGGGAAACCCAGAUUAAUACCGGAUAGCCUCUUGAGCUCUCGGGCUCUCGAGAAAAGGUAGCUUCGGCCUCCGACCGAGGAGGAGCCUGCGGCGGAUUAGCUUGUUGGCGGGGUAAUGGCCCACCAAGGCGACGAUCCGUAGCUGGUCUGAGAGGACGAUCAGCCACACUGGAACUGAGACACGGUCCAGACUCCGUACGGGAGGNAG